AAGGGGGGAGAGCGCAGCCGCCCAGGCAGGAGCAGCAGCCAGCGAUACCUGGAGUCCGUUGCAGAAACCUCGCCCUGCACUUUGCAACAAAGGCAGCCUGCUAGUCAGCAAGGACAUCUGCAAGCCAAAAAAUCACCUUUUUCUCUUUCUCUUCACCCUCAGAAAUGUCGUCCCAGCAAUACCAGCAGCAACGUCGAAAAUUUGCAGCUGCCUUCCUGGCCUUGAUUUUCAUCCUGGCAGCCGUGGACACUGCUGAGGCCGGGAAAAAAGAGAAACCAGAAAAAAAGGUGAAAAAAUCUGACUGUGGAGAAUGGCAAUGGAGUGUGUGCGUGCCCACCAGCGGGGACUGUGGUCUAGGCACCCGGGAGGGCACUCGCACUGGUGCCGAGUGCAAACAAACCAUGAAGACUCAGAGAUGUAAGAUCCCUUGCAACUGGAAGAAGCAGUUUGGAGCUGAGUGCAAAUACCAGUUCCAGGCUUGGGGAGAAUGUGACCUCAAUACCGCCUUGAAGACCAGAACUGGCAGUCUGAAGAGAGCUCUGCACAAUGCCGACUGUCAGAAAACUGUCACCAUCUCCAAGCCCUGUGGCAAACUCACCAAGCCCAAGCCUCAAGGUAAGA
rnacentral:lncRNA from 1 species